UACGUAGGGUGCAAGCGUUGUCCGGAAUUAUUGGGCGUAAAGAGCUCGUAGGCGGUUUGUCGCGUCUGCUGUGAAAACUCGGGGCUUAACCCCGGGCCUGCAGUGGGCACGGGCAGACUAGAGUGCGGUAGGGGAGACUGGAAUUCCUGGUGUAGCGGUGAAAUGCGCAGAUAUCGGGAAGAACACCCGUGGCGAAAGCGGCUCUCUGGAACGGUACUGACGCUGAGACGCGAAAGCGUGGGGAGCGAACAGG
rnacentral:rRNA from 1 species